ensembl:lncRNA
GUUUGAAUUGACCAGUCUGGCCUUAGCCUGGGAGCCCCAAGGCCCUUCACCCGUGGACCCUAAUAAAGGCACGUGACCCAGCCCUGCUGAUCUCUCUGCCUGCAUCCUGGCUUGAUCUCCCUAUGUGGCCACCUGAAGCAGAACGUGGACCUCAGACUUACCCAGAGUCCCAGAAGGAGAAAGACCAUGGCUCAGGACUUCAUGGAGAUAUGUGUGUGUACAGAAAUACAUGUCCAGUGGAGCAGCUGCUUGGAUGGAGGUUAAAUUGCAGGUAAAGAAUAAUGGGCUCCUGAGAAGGGGUAUACCUUAGAGGGAAAGGAGUAAGGACAUAUGAAUUAAAAAUAGCCCCCCCAGGAUGAGGGAGAUAGAGGAGUACAAUUUCUGAGACCCCCAUGUUUUUGUUGUUGCUGUUUAGUCACUAAGCCAUGUCCUACUCUGGUUGUGUUUUUUUUUUGUUUUGUUUUGUUUUUUUUUUUACUUUAUUUUACUUUACAAUACUGUAUUGGUUUUGCCAUACAUUGACAUGAAUCCACCACGGGUGUACAUGCGUUCCCAAACAUGAACCCCCCUCCCCCCUCCCUCCCCAUAACAUCUCUCUGGGUCAUCCCCGUGCACCAGCCCCAAGCAUCCUGUAUCCUGCAUCGGACAUAGACUGGCGAUUCGUUUCUUACAUGAUAGUAUACAUGUUUCAAUGCCAUUCUCCCAAAUCAUCCCACCCUUCCCCUCUCCCUCUGAGUCCAAAAGUCCACUCUACACAUCUGUGUCUCUUUUGCUAUCUUGCAUACAGGGUCAUCAUUGCCAUCUUUAUAAAUUCCAUAUAUAUGCAUUAGUAUAUUGUAUUGGUGUUUUUCACUCUGUAUAAUCGGCUCCAGAUUCAUCCACCUCAUUAGAACUGAUUCAAAUAUAUUCUUUUUAAUGGCUGAGUAAUACUCCAUUGUGUAUACGUACCACAGCUUUCUUAUCCAUUCAUCUGCUGAUGGACAUCUAGGUUGUUUCCAUGUCCUGGCUAUUAUAAAUAGUGCUGCGAUGAACAUUGGAGUACAUGUGUCUCUUUCAAUUCUGGUUUCCUCAGUGUAUAUGCCCAGCAGUGGGAUUGCUGGGUCAUAAGGCAGUUCUAUUUGUAAUUUUUAAAGGAAUCUCCACACUGUUCUCCAUAGUGGCUGUACUAGUUUGCAUUUCCACCAACAGUGUAGGAGGGUUCCCUUUUCUCCACACCCUCUCCAACAUUUAUUGCUUACAGACUUUUGGAUCACAGCCAUUCUGACUGGUGUGAAGUGGUACCUCGCUGUGGUUUUGAUUUGCAUUUCUCUAAUAAUGAGUGAUGUUGAGCAUCUUUUCAUGUGUUUGUUAGUCGUCUGUAUGUCUUCUUUGGAGAAAUGUCUAUUUAGUUCUUUGGUCCAUUUUUUGAUUGGGUCGUUUAUUUUUCUGGAAUUGAGCUGCGUAAGUCACUUGUAUAUUUUUGAGAUUAGUUGUUUGUCAGUUGCUUCAUUUGCUAUUAUUUUCUCCCAUUCAGAAGGCUGUCUUUUCACUUUGCUUAUAGUUUCCUUUGUUGUGCAGAAGCUUUUAAUUUUAGUAAAAGAAUGAAACUAGAUCACUUUCUAACUCCACACACCAAAAUAAACUCAAAAUGGACUAAAGAUCUAAAUGUAAGACCAGAAACUAUAAAACUCCUAGAGGAGAACAUGGGCAAAACACUCCCCGACAUAAAUCACAGCAGGAUCCUCUAUGAUUCACCCCCCAGAAUUCUGGAAAUGUCCUACUCUUUGGAACAGACUGUAGCCCGCCAGGCUCCUCUGUCCAUGGGAUUCUCCAGGCAAGAAUACUGGAGUGGGUUGCUAUUUCCUUCUCCAGGGGAUCUUCCUAAC